rnacentral:rRNA from 1 species
UACGUAGGGUGCGAGCGUUGUCCGGAAUUAUUGGGCGUAAAGGGCUCGUAGGCGGUUUGUCGCGUCGGGAGUGAAAACCAGGUGCUUAACACCUGGCUUGCUUUCGAUACGGGCAGACUAGAGGUAUUCAGGGGAGAACGGAAUUCCUGGUGUAGCGGUGAAAUGCGCAGAUAUCAGGAGGAACACCGAUGGCGAAGGCAGAUCUCUGGGACCGUAACUGACGCUGAGGAGCGAAAGCAUGGGGAGCGAACAGGA